AUGGCGCUCGCGCCGCCCUGCUUGCCGCCGCGGGCGUUGACGAUGCAGAUCAUCCGCAUCACCUCGUCGGCGUCCGGGGCCAGCGCCACGGUGCGGCACUUCCACAGGCUUCCCGUGAGGACCUCGAACGUGGUGGCGCGCUUCCGGAGGCCCGGCGCCAGGUGGGACCGGAUGGCGGCGACCUCCCGGGCCCCGAAGAAGAAGGAGCGGUGCGCCAUCUCGUCGAGCGGCACGAUGGUGCCCUUGGUGUCCGGCACCUCGUCGUACUCCCGGUGCGCGAAGCCAGGGCGCGGCGGGUUCCGCGCCUCCAGCAGCUCCCGCUCCCACACCGGCCGCAGCGACGGCGCCGCCGCGCCUCGCGCCAGCUCCGCCACGGCGGCCAGGAACUGCACCAGCCCCUGCGCGUCCGCCAUCGUGUGCAUCAGCCGCACCGCCAGGAUGAAGCCUCCACACAAAGGCAAAGUUACCUGAAAGAGGAGGAGCGGGGUUCCGAGGACUUCGGACGAGCCAGGGACGUCGAAGAUGAGCUCCUCGAGUCCCGGGAAGGGCGGCUGCAGAGCGUCGCCGAAGUGCUCCAGACGCACGUCGGCAUCGGCCUCAAUGAAAAGCACGCCCUCGCCAGUGCAGUCGACGGCGAGCUUGCGCCCUUCGAGCUCCCUCAGCCGGCCGGCGAACGGGUAG
rnacentral:rRNA from 1 species